AUGGGCAGGGAGGUGCAGCAUCCGUGUUUGGGCAGAGGAGUGAAAGAGACAGAGCUGGACUUCUGGAAAUCACAGUGCAGAUCUGAUGGAACUCAGAAGAGACAGGCAUGGGAAGCUGCUGGUCACUCUUUGGUGUGCCCUGGCGUCCUGUGCCAACCUUGUAACAUUUGUUUCUAUUGGUCUCAACCAUUAGAGUCUGAGCAUCUUCAGAGUAGACACACUCUGGCAUGAUGCUGUCCAAUAAAAAUCUAUUGUAAACCACAAACGUGAACCACAUGUGCAAUUUUCAAUUUUCUAGUAGUCAUGUUAAAAUAUAGUAAAAAGAAAUAGAUGAAACCCAUUUUAGUAUAUACUUUAUUAGUUUCUUCAAAAUAUCAUUUCAAGGUGUAGUCUAUAUUAAAAAUUAUUAGAGAUUUAACACUUCUUUUUUCAUACUAAAUCCUCAAACCCUGAGGUGUAUCUUAUGCUUAUGUGUCUGUGUGUGCUCAAUUGUGUCCGACUCUUGGCAACCCAAGACUGUAUACUUGGGCUACAGCUACGAGGACUGCAGCCUGCCAGGCUCCCCUGUCCGUGGGAUUUCCCAGGCAAGAAUACUUGAAUGGAUUGCCAUUCCCUUCUCUAGGGGAUCUUCUCGGGUUGAGGGAUCGAAUCCACAUCUCUUGCAUUGCAGGCAGAUUCAUUACCACUAAGCCACCUGGGAAGUGCCAGUUUUAUGCUUAUAGCACAUUUCAAUUUGAACUAGCCAAAAUUCAAUACUUUCUAGCCAUAUGUGGCAAGUAGCUGCCAGAUUGGACAGGAAACAGGUCUAAAAUAUCGUGCCUGGCACUUUGUAGGCACUCAGUAAAUGUACUGACUGAAUGAAAAGUGUGGUUUCUGGAAAUACUCCUCUCAGGGCCUUGAUAAUCAGUUGCCAUUGCAGUGACCAGUAGCUAGAGAUGAAAGGUAAGGCUCAGUCAUGAUGCUGUUGAGAGGAUAGGAGAGACAUUAAUUCAUUCAUUCAGCUCCUCACUUAUCUUUUGAGACGCAUUCUUCUUCCAUCUCCUUUAAAGUUCUUGCUCUCUUAGCCGAGAACCGUGGAGAUGAGCGGGCAAUGUAAGGCUAAUUUGACACAUGCCAAGUGCUCAGCAAAAGUUUUCUUUCUGAUGAGUCUGAAGAUCCUCCACCGGUUCCCUUUGUUCCCUGAUUAAGGGUAAUCCUCCUCUCUGUGUAUGCACAUUCACUCGCUACCAGCAGCCCCAUCUUUUUGAAGUCCUUUCCUAACCACCCUGAAGUCCACAGUCCUACUCCAGAAAGACCAGCUUCUGCUGAGGCUUCAAUCACAGAACAUCCUCAGUGGACUGAAGUCUCAGGAAGAGGAGCAAGGGCUUGACCAAGACCCCACGCAGGUUACUAGCUGGCCUGGGACUCCCCCGUUUUGUUCACCACUGCAGUCCCAGGGCCUGGAACGGCGCCUGCUACGCACAGAGUGAAUAAAUCCUGAGUGAACCCAGGUACUCAGCUCCUAGCCCCCUAGAGCAUAUCUACCUUUCCAUUUCUCAUGAGUUCCUCUGUGAUGUCCUUAGGCCUGUCCUGAGAGCCUGUCUGUGCUAAGGAUGAGGCAGUAAGGACUCCCUGAGAGAUGGGGACAGGCUGCAACUGGUUUACUCCCCUCCCCCUAAUCCCUGCCUUUUUUCCAUUUGAAAAGUGCUUCACAAACCCCACCCUCACAAGGUUUACCGUAACUAAGUACCACCUGUACUAUUAUUUACAUAAUAUUUUCUUAAUGAAAGUC
ensembl:lncRNA